rnacentral:rRNA from 1 species
ACCCAAAGAAUAAGCACCGGCUAACUUCGUGCCAGCAGCCGCGGUAAUACGAAGGGUGCAAGCGUUACUCGGAAUUACUGGGCGUAAAGCGUGCGUAGGCGGUUUGUUAAGUCUGCUGUGAAAGCCCUGGGCUCAACCUGGGAACUGCAGUGGAUACUGGCGAGCUAGAGUGUGUCAGAGGAUGGUGGAAUUCCCGGUGUAGCGGUGAAAUGCGUAGAGAUCGGGAGGAACACCAGUGGCGAAGGCGGCCAUCUGGGACAACACUGACGCUGAGGCACGAAAGCGUGGGGAGCAAACAGGAUUAGAUAUCCUGGUAGUCCACGCCCUAAACGAUGCGAACUGGACGUUGGGCACACUUAGGUGCUCAGUGUCGAAGCUAACGCGUUAAGUUCGCCGCCUGGGGAGUACGGUCGCAAGACUGAAACUCAAAGGAAUUGACGGGGGCCCGCACAAGCGGUGGAGUAUGUGGUUUAAUUCGAUGCAACGCGAAGAACCUUACCUGGCCUUGACAUGUCCGGAAUCCUGCAGAGAUGCGGGAGUGCCUUUC